rnacentral:misc_RNA from 1 species
AGCAGCCGCGGUAAUUCCAGCUCCAAUAGCGUAUAUUAAAGUUGUUGCAGUUAAAAGCUCGUAGUUGAAUUUCGGGAUCAAUAUGUUGGUCGUGCCUUGGUACGUACUGGCAUUAUUGGUUUCUACCUUCUGAAGAACCUUGAUGUCAUUAAUUUGGUGUCUUGGGGAAUCAGGAC